CACCGCCGCCACCGCCCCCCGCCCCUCCGCCCCGUGCGGCGGCCGCCGCCCCCGCCCCAGCGUCGCGCUCCGCCAAUGCCGCCCCCUGCCGCCGGGGCCACCCCUACCCGAAGUGCCCCAACCCCUGCGACUUUCCACCGCCGGCGCCACACCUUCCCCAACUCAUCUCUCUCCUCAUCUUCUGCCACUGCCGCUCUCCAUCGGCUGGCCAACUCCCUCAGUUCUACCCCUCCCCACACGAGCACCUCCCAAUCCUCCUCCUCUGUGUGUGUGCGCGCGCACGCGUGCUUGAUUCGGAUUCACCCCUUUUCUGGCUGCAGCAUAGAGGAGAGCUCACUGCUACGGUGGGCAUUGAUAGUGGAGAGCUGGGAGCCGGCUAGAUCCUCGCCAACGAGGGCCGUCAUGGCCUCCACCUCUGUCCUGUUGCCGGUGGACUGCUGGACGUCGAUACAUCGAUACGGUCUCCUACAACUAGAGGAGCGAAAACUUACAACAGCAUCUCCGGCACCCUCCUGACCAUGACCACUAUGUUGACAAGAAAGGUUCAGCUGAUAAGACAAUUAUUUUUUGGGACCUUGGGACUUUUGACUUGAUUGGAUCCUCUGGACAGGAGGUAUAAUUGUAUCUCCUAAUUGUCUAAUUGGUGUUCAGAAAGCUCAGGCUCUACUCAUUUAUUUCUCCCAGUUCAUGUUGUCUUUGUAUUCAGAUUGUGAAAUAAUGUAGUUCUAUAAACGCUAUCAGUAUGCAGCCAUCCAUCAAAAUUAUGUCCUAAACUGCAUUUGAUCAUAUGCUUGGCUUUAGCUUGAUUUAAUUUCAAACAAACUUCAACCAGCGAAGAGCAUGUAUGAAUUCUACUAGCUCUGCAACGGUUUGGAACUCAGUAGGAACUUGCGGUUGACAGUUCCCAGAGAGGCCCUUAGUCACUUAAAUUAGCCUUGUGUUUGUUUCAUCACUACAAGGCAGAAGUAAGUUAAAAAAAAUCCUGUCUUUCCUGUAGAUGCGAGCUUCGUUUCUAAUUGGGCAUGAUGUCGGGCUCACUGUAUCAAUUGGAGCAUGCAUAGUAGUCUCUGAACAUUCUGGUUUAGAAUUCUAUUUUUGUUCGGCAACCUUCAAAACAGAGAGGUCACAAUUCCGUUCCGAUCACUUUAUGGACCUAUUUCCACCUUUUGCUCUCCGGCCCUGCUUACACUUUUCUGCAAUACCUAAAUCUAGCUUUGAGAUUCAACAACAGUUGUUUAGUGGAUGCAAGGUUUUUGUGGGUAAUAUUUUCUGAUGGCGCAAAAUGUAUGACAUUACUGCUAUGCAUCAAAAUCAUUCAGAAGGGUUUAAGGUUUCAGAAAAAGGACAAUAUUCUCUUCACAAUGAACUUGGUCAAAGCACAUAAUGCAAUUUAUCUAUGUAGUGGAAUUUGUUAUCGGCUAGAGGGAGUUAUGGGUUUAGAGCUUAAAAUAAUUGCUUAUUGUCUAUUAUUGCUACAGAUUGAAAUGUUUUCUUCUAGAUACUCAAGCAUGGGAGGCAGCAUGGAUUUAUUUAUGAAAGGUGGCAGACACAACCAUGAGGUGUUCACGCACAUUUACCUGCAUUCUUAUCUUGACCAUGGGAGCCAAUUCUGAUACAUGCCGACAGUACAGAAAUGUACGAUCAUGAGAGAGAGGACUAAGGCUAUAGAAUUUGUGACUAUGUAUAAGGGCUCUUCAUCAAGUGUGUGCACUGUACUUUAUGAAUUUUUAUUUGUGAAUUUUUUCAUGAUAUGUUGCACACUGUCGCAGAAUGUAACAUGAAAAAGAAUUAAUGUUUUGGAUGGAUUCUCUGAGAUGCCUGACUCCUAUUUCUACUCGAGAUCGUUACAAGCUGA